rnacentral:rRNA from 1 species
UACAGAGGUCUCAAGCGUUGUUCGGAUUCAUUGGGCGUAAAGGGUGCGUAGGCGGCGCGGUAAGUCGGGUGUGAAAUCUCGGAGCUUAACUCCGAAACUGCAUUCGAUACUGCCGUGCUUGAGGACUGGAGAGGAGACUGGAAUUUACGGUGUAAGCGGUGAAUGCGUAGAUAAUCGUAAGGAAGACCAGUGGCGAAGGCGGGUCUCUGGACAGUUCCUGACGCUGAGGCACGAAGGUCAGGGAGCAAACGGG